CAACCCUGUAUAUUAUGUAACCAUGUCAUGUGAGGUGCAUUAGGUAACUCAUGUGAGCUCAUUCUUGGUUAGGAGCCACUGUUGUCUGUAAAAGGUAUAACUAACCUGCUGAGGCUGUACAUAUGGCUCAUGCCCAGAGAGAGAAUAAAGCCAUGUCACAAAUGCCUAUGAUUCCUAUGAUUCUCAAGUGUUUUUCCAGCUACAUGCCACCUGCCCACUGAGUCCCCUUGGACUCCAGCUUGAGCUUGAACCUGAUAACUGGUGUAGUCAGCAGGAUCCCGAGUGCUAUGAAUGGUGUAAGCAAGACUCUCUUGAGAGAGAAGGGCUUCAUGGAGAAGCUGAUUUUGCUGGUGGUGAAGCAGGGGAUGGUCAUUCCGGGCAGAGGUUGCAGGUAAGCCCAGGUAUGUCUUGGAACAUUUAGAAUGCAUGGAGAAUGUGCAGGAGAUGAGUCUGGAAAGGAAGGAC
rnacentral:lncRNA from 1 species